rnacentral:lncRNA from 1 species
GAAGGUUCUCCCCUCGCACGCUGCAGCCCACGCCAGCCACCUUUGCCAGGACCUGGCCAGGGGCUAGUGGCUUUGGGAACGUGCUGGCCAGGUGGGCUGUGCCCCGAGGGGCUUGCACGGGGGCUGCAGCGGGGUCAGGCUGACAGCACCCCGUCCCACAAGGUCCCAACGCCAGGGACAUCCAGGAGGUUCCCCGGCUCCUGGUUUUGCCGGGACCCCUAUUCCCCCGGGGUGGGAGCUGGGGACAGGGUCCCACCCUGCCUGGAGGGCUGGGGAGGCUUCGGGGCCCCCCAGGCGCUGGGUGCAGAAGCCCCCACAGACCCGACCGUGCUCAGGGGAGCGCAGGGAUCCCCGUCCGAGCCCGGGCGGGGUGCAGGGUGCCGGAGCGGGGCGCAGCGAGGAGCAGGGGCAGAGCGAUGGCAGCAGCUGGGCCGGUUCCUCGAUAUUAAUAGACAUUCCCAAGAAAGCGGCGAGGAGGGAGCGGGUGCGGCGCCAAAUAAAGCAGGGCGAGCGCCCGGGGUGCAGCCCAGCCGCACGGGGUGCCAGGGCAGCCCAGGGGACGUCCCGGGGCUCGGGAGUCCCGCGGUACGGGGGUCCCAAGGUAGCAGGGCCCCCGGCCCCCCCAGUGCCGGGGUGCGGGGCUCCAGGGGCCCCCGGCGGGUGGGCCCGGGGCCCUGCCAGGACGGCCCGGGCAGGGGCCAGGGGGAGCGGGGAGCGGGGGCGCUCGGGCAGGCGCCCGGCUCGGCCCGGGCGGGGGCGGGCGGCGGAGGGCAGGGACUGCGGGAUGCGCCGGGCAGCCCUGCCCUGACCCGGGCCGGGCCGGGCCGGCGCCGCCGCCGCCGCGAUCCGGGUUCCCGGCGGAGGCGGAGCCGCGGGGGGAGGAUCCCGGGACGAGCCGCGGCGGAGCGGCCAUCGCUCGGCACCGCCCGGCUCGGCACGGCGCGGCCCGGGCCGGGCCAGCACGGUACGGACCGGGCCGGGAGCGCCCGCGGCGGGGACGCGGCUGCACCGGGCCGGGGGCGGGAGCGGGAGCGGGGCCGGGGGCGGGGGCGGGGGGUCCCGGGGCCGGGGGUCCCGCGGACGGGCUGUCCCAGCCCAGGCCCGUGCGGUGCCCUCGGCCGCCGGCGUGGCGGGCGGCCCCCGGCCCCCUGCCCGUCCCGCCGCGCUGGGGCAACCGGGCCUGACCCCUCGCUUCGGCAGCUGGGCCGGACGGGAUGGCCGCCCGCAUCCUGCACCGCCUGCGGCACGCGCUGGCCGGCGAAGGCGGCCGGGAGGAGCGGGCGUGCGGCGGCUCCGAGGCCGAGGACUUCCCGGAGAGCUCGGAGCUGGAGGACGACACGGAGGGGCUGUCGACGCGCCUCAGCGGCACCCUGA